AGGAGAAACACAGAGGCAACACAGCGUAUGAAGAAUAUGCAAGCUGGGACAAAGCCAGAAAAGUCAACAGUCCGGUCAUAAAUGUGACGCUGAGGAAUCUAGCCGUUUUGUACCGCAAACAGGGCAAGAUGAAGGCAGCAGACAUGCUGGAGGAAUGUGCCAAAAGAUCCCACAAACAGAGUCUGAGCAGCUGACGUCUGAAAGACAGUUGAGUUCCAGUAAUGUGGAUCUGUACAACAGUUAAAAUCCACACCAAACUGCUACACUGUCAACCAACCUUCUAAUGCAGAUCAAACUACAUGCAUGAUCAAAUCAGUCAGCUCAUUGCUUUAAUAACUCUCUCAACAUCGGCCAUGUCCUGUGCUGUAUUGCUGUAUUGUUCUGACUUCCUUGCUGAUUUAAAUUGACUCCAUUUUUCAAGUGAUCACUGCAUUUAGACUGCAAUUCUGAUUUAGAAUUGUUAGAUUUUACUGUAUUUGGCUGAGCAGUCUUUUGGGGUGGCUCGCCAAUGUAUUCGAUUUCUCCAAUACUGUACAUAAAAUAAGUAAGCUUUACCAGAGUUCUUGUGGGAAGAAGAAUUUAUUGAAGGUAGUAGUGUAGCACAGUUCUUCAGCAUCGAUGUCAGUGUGUCGGCCUUCAAAAGAUCUAAACCCAAAGUUCUGUCUGUGGGACAGAACUUUAUACAUGAAGACAACAAGGGCUACAAACAAUAGAAAGCUGUUAGGACCUCCCACAGGAGAUCGAUCUACCCUGCAAUCUAUUGUGACCAAUGCUGUUACUUUGUCAUUCACACCCAUCAGUUUCUGUGGGCCAUACAUCUGUAUAGGCUAGGACUUGCAUAGACUAGUCGAGUAGUCGAGAGAUCAACUACUUCAAACACUAGUUGGUGCUGUCGAAACAAUCGACGAUACUCGAGUGUGCAUUAACCAUAAAUGAAUUUUUAAAAAGAGAGAUAUGUCACAAUAUUGUAGAUCUUUCCAUUUUAAACCAAAAAGCGGAGCCAAUGGAUAUCACACAAGAAGCAACGUGCAAGCUUUGCGCAAGAGUUAUGACGGUGAAUGCUUGGUCGGUAGGCUAUUCGAAGUGAAAGUAAAAAGUAACGGAGCUGCCUGACGCUGCAUUAACGGAUCAUAUUCUCUCAGAGAUGAAUUUCAACAUAAUAUGCUGAUAACGGUAUUUCUGUCAUGACAACUCUC